AGGGUUCGAUUCUGGCUCGGAACGAACGCUGGCGGCGCGUCUUAAGCAUGCAAGUCGAACGGGAUCCACGCGCUUGCGCGUGGUGAGAGUGGCGGACUGGUGAGUAACGCGUAGGUGACGUACCCUCCGGACGGGGAUAGCCCUUAGAAAUAAGGGGGUAAUACCGGAUACGGUUCCGUGUGUCAGAGAUACGGAAGGAAAGGAGCUUCGGCUCCGCCGGGGGAUCGGCCUGCGUCCCAUCAGCCAGUUGGCGGGGUAACGGCCCACCAAGGCAAUGACGGGUAUCCGGCCUAAGAGGGUGAACGGACACAUUGGGACUGAGAUACGGCCCAGACUCCUACGGGAGGCAGCAGCUAAGAAUAUUCCGCAAUGGGGGAAACCCUGACGGAGCGACGCCGCGUGGACGAUGAAGGCCGGAAGGUUGUAAAGUCCUUUAGUCUGUGAGGAAUAACGCCGGAGGGAAUGCCGGCGGAUGACUGUAGCAGAAGAAUAAGCACCGGCUAAUUACGUGCCAGCCGCAGC
rnacentral:rRNA from 1 species